GUCUAUGACCAUACUACUCCGAACAUGCCUGUUCUAGUCUGGUCUCAGAAGCUAAGCAGUGUCGGGCCUGGUUAGUACUUGGAUGUGGAGUUCAAAGGUCUUCGUAAUCU
ensembl:rRNA 5S_rRNA 5S ribosomal RNA